GCGGAUAUGAUGAAAUUGGUAGACAUGUCAGAUUUAGGUUCUGGUGAAUAUUUCUUGGGGGUUCAAGUCCCUCUAUCCGUA
rnacentral:tRNA from 1 species